UGUGCGCCGAGAACUGGUGGCUCUCCAGGAUCUUGUAGAGCUCGCGGAAGUUGCCCCGGUGGAAAGCCACCACCGCCUUGGCCUUCAGGACGCUCUCGUUCUUGUGGAGGUGCUCGCAGGCAGGGAGGGACCAGAGGAACCGUCCCAGCCGCUCGAUGUUGCCGCCUUGCUGGAGCACCUCGCAGACGCAGGCCACUUGCUCUUGGGUGAAGCCAAAAGUCGGGAGCAUCGACAUGUGGUUGAAUCUGAACGGGAGCAGCUGUUCGCCCUAGCCGGAAAGGAGAUGUCAAAACCUGUUGCGUGGAUUUAGAUCUGAGAGUCUUCUUAGCACCCUAAACUAGCAGGAGGCGCGAAUCGCCUGUUCACGUUUGCUCCCGGUCCGACGGGAUCGUUUCACUUGGUUGCUGCCGGCUGUCUCCAGUUUAGCUGCUGCGGAAAGUUUUAUUUGAGGCGACCCAAAAGGCGGGUUUCAUCUCGGCCCCGGCCCCGACUGCCACUUUGCCCAGG